rnacentral:rRNA from 1 species
GACGAACGCUGGCGGCGUGCUUAACACAUGCAAGUCGAACGGAAAGGCCCUGCUUUUGUGGGGUGCUCGAGUGGCGAACGGGUGAGUAACACGUGAGUAACCUGCCCUUGACUUUGGGAUAACUUCAGGAAACUGGGGCUAAUACCGGAUAGGAGCUCCUGCUGCAUGGUGGGGGUUGGAAAGUUUCGGCGGUUGGGGAUGGACUCGCGGCUUAUCAGCUUGUUGGUGGGGUAGUGGCUUACCAAGGCUUUGACGGGUAGCCGGCCUGAGAGGGUGACCGGCCACAUUGGGACUGGGAAACGGCCCAGCCCCCUACGGGGGGCAGGGGGGGGGAAUAUUGCACAAGGGGCGGAAGCCUGAUGCAGCACCGCCGGGGGGGGGAUGACGGCCUUCGGGUUGAAAACCGCUUUCGCCUGUGACGAGGCGUGGGUGACGGUAAUGGGUAAAGAAGCACCGGCUAACUACGU